AGUGAACGCUGGCGGUAGGCCUAACACAUGCAAGUCGAACGGCAGCACAGUAAGAGCUUGCUCUUACGGGUGGCGAGUGGCGGACGGGUGAGGAAUACAUCGGAAUCUACUUUUUCGUGAGGGAUAACGUAGGGAAACUUACGCUAAUACCGCAUACGACCUACGGGUGAAAGCAGGGGAUCUUCGGACCUUGCGCGAUUGAAUGAGCCGAUGUCGGAUUAGCUAGUUGGCGGGGUAAAGGCCCACCAAGGCGACGAUCCGUAGCUGGUCUGAGAGGGUGAUCAGCCACACUGGAACUGAGACACGGUCCAGACUCCUACGGGAGGCAGCAGUGGGGAAUAUUGGACAAUGGGCGCAAGCCUGAUCCAGCCAUACCGCGUGGGUGAAGAAGGCCUUCGGGUUGUAAAGCCCUUUUGUUGGGAAAGAAAAGCAGCAGGUUAAUACCCCGCUGUUCUGACGGUACCCAAAGAAUAAGCACCGGCUAACUUCGUG
rnacentral:rRNA from 1 species